rnacentral:rRNA from 1 species
CCCUUAGAUGUUCUGGGCCGCACACGCGCUACACUGAAGGAGGCAGCGUGUACUCCUGGAUCGAAAGAUUUGGGUAACCCGCGAAUCUCCUUCGUGCUAGGGAUUGAGGUUUGCAAUUAUCCUUCAUGAACGAGGAAUUCCCAGUAAGUGCAAGUCAUAAGCUUGCGCUGACUACGUCCCUGCCCUUUGUACACACCGCCCGUCGCUACUACCGAUUGAAUGAUUUAGUGAGGACUUCGGACCGGGACCGAUGCGGCUUUCGGGCUGCGUCGGUAUUCUGGAAAGAUGUCCAAACUGUAUCAUUUAGAGGAAGUAAAAGUCGUAACA